GACGAACGCUGGCGGCGUGCUUAACACAUGCAAGUCGAACGGAAAGGCCCUGCUUUUGUGGGGUGCUCGAGUGGCGAACGGGUGAGUAACACGUGAGUAACCUGCCCUUGACUUUGGGAUAACUUCAGGAAAAUGGGGCUAAUACCGGAUAGGAGCUCCUGCUGCAUGGUGGGGGUUGGAAAGGUUCGGCGGUUGGGGAUGGACUCGCGGCUUAUCAGCUUGUUGGUGGGGUAGUGGCUUACCAAGGCUUUGACGGGUAGCCGGCCUGAGAGGGUGACCGGCCACAUUGGGACUGAGAUACGGCCCAGACUCCUACGGGAGGCAGCAGUGGGGAAUAUUGCACAAUGGGCGGAAGCCUGAUGCAGCAACGCCGCGUGCGGGAUGACGGCCUUCGGGUUGUAAACCGCUUUCGCCUGUGACGAAGCGUGAGUGACGGUAAUGGGUAAAGAAGCACCGGCUAACUACGUG
rnacentral:rRNA from 1 species